rnacentral:rRNA from 1 species
GAUGAACGCUGGCGGCGUGCUUAACACAUGCAAGUCGAACGAUGAAGCUCAGCUUGCUGGGUGGAUUAGUGGCGAACGGGUGAGUAACACGUGAGUAACCUGCCCUUAACUCUGGGAUAAGCCUGGGAAACCGGGUCUAAUACCGGAUAGGAGCGUCCACCGCAUGGUGGGUGUUGGAAAGAUUUAUCGGUUUUGGAUGGACUCGCGGCCUAUCAGCUUGUUGGUGAGGUAAUGGCUCACCAAGGCGACGACGGGUAGCCGGCCUGAGAGGGUGACCGGCCACACUGGGACUGAGACACGGCCCAGACUCCUACGGGAGGCAGCAGUGGGGAAUAUUGCACAAUGGGCGCAAGCCUGAUGCAGCGACGCCGCGUGAGGGAUGACGGCCUUCGGGUUGUAAACCUCUUUCAGUAGGGAAGAAGCGAAAGUGACGGUACCUGCAGAAGAAGCACCGGCUAACUACGUG